rnacentral:lncRNA from 1 species
UGUAGGGAUUGCAGGGGGGUGCAGCAUCCGGAGGUGCCACCAUGGUUUGGCUACUGGAUGGUGUCUGUAAUUUAUCUGUGGAGAGGGUUUGGGUUUGGGUCUGGUGUGGUUGAUUGGUGAUGGCGUUCUGUGUGCCUCUGGAUCUGGUGUCGGUUUUUGUGGGGAGGGCUAAUUUCCAGAUGUCUGGCAGGCGGGACGUGUCGUCACGUUUGUUCAUGUUGUGAGGGUGUUUCUCUAUCUCGAUGGCUUCCAUGAUUAUUCUCUUGUGGUGAUGUUCCAUGUUAAAGAGCAAUUUGGAAUCUGCAAAAUUAAUUUCGUGUCCUGUUUCUUUCAUGUGUUGGAAAAGAGAGGAAGUUUUUUCUUCUUUUUUGACGGCAUUCUUGUGUUCUCAACAGCCUACACCCCAAAAUACAAUUCACUAUGGAAAUAGAAGCCAAUAACCAACUUCCCUUCCUUGACGUCCUAAUCUACAAAAAACCUGAUGGCUCCCUAGGACACACUGUCUACCGGAAAAAAACACACACCAACCGCUACUUACAUGCACAAUCACACCACCACCCUGCACAAAUAAACUCCGUAGCCAAGACUCUCAUCUCCAGAACCAAACGCCUGGCUGACAAAGACCACUUGACAACUGAGUUACAGAAUCUCUCAAAUGUGUUAAUCGCCAAUGGAUACCAGCAAAACAGGGUUACGAAGCUAAUCCAAAAAGAAACACCCCCCAAAAACCAAGACACAGAAGAAAACAAUGGCAUGGCCCUCCUUCCUUAUAUCAAGGGCACUACAGAUAAAAUUAGCAAAAUCCUCCAUAAACACAAUAUCAAAACAGCCUUUUGCACCAAACAAAAAAUAGCCAAUAUCCUCAGAAACCCCAAAGAUAAAAUCCAGUUGGAAAACCAAGGGGUCUAUGAAAUACCCUGCAAAGCCUGCCCAGCCACGUACAUUGGACAAACAAACAGACGAAUAAAUGCACGUAUCGCAGAACACAAGAAUGCCGUCAAAAAAGAAGAAAAAACUUCCUCUCUUUUCCAACACAUGAAAGAAACAGGACACGAAAUUAAUUUUGCAGAUUCCAAAUUGCUCUUUAACAUGGAACAUCACCACAAGAGAAUAAUCAUGGAAGCCAUCGAGAUAGAGAAACACCCUCACAACAUGAACAAACGUGACGACACGUCCCGCCUGCCAGACAUCUGGAAAUUAGCCCUCCCCACAAAAACCGACACCAGAUCCAGAGGCACACAGAACGCCAUCACCAAUCAACCACACCAGACCCAAACCCAAACCCUCUCCACAGAUAAAUUACAGACACCAUCCAGUAGCCAAACCAUGGUGGCACCUCCGGAUGCUGCACCCCCCUGCAAUCCCUACACAGAUCUGGCUGGCACAGGGCACAAAACCAC